GGAUUAAUCCUCUAUAAUAUCUUUUAAUUUCAUGAUUUUAAGAUUAAAGUUUUAACGGUAAAAGAUGAGCAUGCGUCCUAUUAGUUUGUAGGUGAGGUAACGGCUCACCUAGACUACGAUAGGUAGGGGCCCUGAGAGGGGGAUCCCCCACACUGGUACUGAGACACGGACCAGACUCCUACGGGAGGCAGCAGUAAGGAAUAUUGGACAAUGGACGAAAGUCUGAUCCAGCCAUGCCGCGUGCAGGAUGAAAGCCCUAUGGGUUGUAA
rnacentral:rRNA from 1 species